rnacentral:rRNA from 1 species
UGAUCCAGCAAUGCCGCGUGAGUGAAGAAGGCCUUCGGGUUGUAAAGCUCUUUUGUCAGGGAAGAAACGGUUCUGGCUAAUAUCCGGAACUAAUGACGGUACCUGAAGAAUAAGCACCGGCUAACUACGUGCCAGCAGCCGCGGUAAUACGUAGGGUGCAAGCGUUAAUCGGAAUUACUGGGCGUAAAGCGUGCGCAGGCGGUUUUGUAAGACAGAUGUGAAAUGCCCGGGCUUAACCUGGGAACUGCAUUUGUGACUGCAAGGCUAGAGUGUGUCAGAGGGGGGUAGAAUUCCACGUGUAGCAGUGAAAUGCGUAGAUAUGUGGAGGAAUACCGAUGGCGAAGGCAGCCCCCUGGGAUAACACUGACGCUCAUGCACGAAAGCGUGGGGAGCAAACAGGAUUAGAUACCCUGGUAGUCCACGCCCUAAACGAUGUCUACUAGUUGUCGGGUCUUAAUUGACUUGGUAACGCAGCUAACGCGUGAAGUAGACCGCCUGGGGAGUACGGUCGCAAGAUUAAAACUCAAAGGAAUUGACGG